ACGCUCGACACCUACGGGAUGCAGCAGUGGGGAAUAUUGCACAAUGGGGGAAACCCUGAUGCAGCAACGCCGCGUGAGUGAAGAAGUAUUUCGGUAUGUAAAGCUCUAUCAGCAGGGAAGAUAAUGACGGUACCUGACUAAGAAGCUCCGGCUAAAUACGUGCCGGCAGCCGCGGUAAUCUGAGCGGGCUGGCAAGGC
rnacentral:rRNA from 1 species